rnacentral:rRNA from 1 species
GAUGAACGCUGGCGGCGUGCUUAACACAUGCAAGUCGAACGAUGAAGCGCAGCUUGCUGGGUGGUUUAGUGGCGAACGGGUGAGUAACACGUGAGUAACUUGCCCUUGACUCUGGGUUAAGUCUGGGAAACUGGGCCUAAUACUGGAUAGGACUUCUCAUGGCAUGGUGGGGUCUGGAGAGAUUUAGUGGUAUUGUGUGGCUUCGCGGCCUAUCAGCGUGUUGGUGAGGUAAUGGUUCACCAAGGCGACGACGGGUAGCCGGCCUGGGAGCGUGACCGGGCACCAUGGGACUGCGGCACGGAGCAGUCUGCUACGGGAGGCAACAGUGGAGAAUCUUGCACAACGGGCGCGCGCCUGAUGCGGCGACCCCGCGUGCGGGAUGCCCGCCUUCGGGUUGUAAACCUCUUUCAGUAGAGAAGUAGCGGUCGUGACGGUACCUACAGAAGAAGCGCCGGCUAACUACGUG